rnacentral:rRNA from 1 species
UACGUAGGGUGCGAGCGUUGUCCGGAAUUAUUGGGCGUAAAGAGCUCGUAGGCGGUGUGUCGCGUCGGCCGUGAAAACCUGGGGCUCAACUCUGGGCGUGCGGUCGAUACGGGCAUCACUUGAGUUCGGCAGGGGAGACUGGAAUUCCUGGUGUAGCGGUGGAAUGCGCAGAUAUCAGGAGGAACACCGGUGGCGAAGGCGGGUCUCUGGGCCGAUACUGACGCUGAGGAGCGAAAGCAUGGGUAGCGAACAGG